rnacentral:rRNA from 1 species
GGGCCCGCACAAGCAGUGGAGUAUGUGGUUUAAUUCGAAGCAACGCGAAGAACCUUACCAGGGCUUGACAUCCCUUGAAGUCUGUAGAGAUAUGGACGUCCUUCGGGACAAGGAGACAGGUGGUGCAUGGUUGUCGUCAGCUCGUGUCGUGAGAUGUUGGGUUAAGUCCCGCAACGAGCGCAACCCCUGUUGUUAGUUGCCAUCAUUAAGUUGGGCACUCUAGCAAGACUGCCGGUGACAAAUCGGAGGAAGGUGGGGACGACGUCAAAUCAUCAUGCCCCUUAUGUCCUGGGCUACACACGUACUACAAUGGCUAUUACAGCAGGAAGCGAAAGGGUAACCUGGAGCGAAUCCUCAAAAAUAGUCCCAGUUCAGAUUGUGGGCUGAAACUCGCCCACAUGAAGUCGGAAUUGCUAGUAAUGGCAGGUCAGCAUACUGCCGUGAAUACGUUCCCGGGCCUU